rnacentral:rRNA from 1 species
GAUGAACGCUGGCGGCGUGCCUAAUACAUGCAAGUCGAGCGAACAGACGAGGAGCUUGCUCCUCUGAUGUUAGCGGCGGACGGGUGAGUAACACGUGGAUAACCUACCUAUAAGACUGGGAUAACUUCGGGAAACCGGAUCUAAUACCGGAUAACAUGUUGAACCGCAUGGUUCAACAGUGAAAGACGGUCUUGCUGUCACUUAUAGAUGGAUCCGCGCCGCAUUAGCUAGUUGGUAAGGUAACGGCUUACCAAGGCAACGAUGCGUAGCCGACCUGAGAGGGUGAUCGGCCACACUGGAACUGAGACACGGUCCAGACUCCUACGGGAGGCAGCAGUAGGGAAUCUUCCGCAAUGGGCGAAAGCCUGACGGAGCAACGCCGCGUGAGUGAAGAAGGUCUUCGGAUCGUAAAACUCUGUUAUUAGGGAAGAACAAAUGUGUAAGAAACUAUGCACGUCUUGACGGUACCUAAACAGAAAGCCACGGCUAACUACGUG